CAGGAUUUGAUCAAUUGUCAUGACAUAUGUUCUAUAAAGUAUUAAGUACGUGAGUGUAGGGGACGUCUCGUGUGGGAUUUACUAACUGCGCAUAAAGGAGAAGAGCAACUAAAUUUAUAUCUUUUUUUUAAAAUAUUUAAAAACUUUCAAUAAAGUUUAUUCCCCCUCACUCUUGCUUCCUUGAGCCAGGGAGAUGGGGAAAAUUAUCCCUGGCGGACAGUGCUUGGCUGUUCUGGUGAAGGUGCAGACCUUGUAUAUUCUUGUUG